CACACCCACAGCAUAUGGAGGUUCCCAGGCUAGGGAUCCAGUCAGAGCUGUAGUCACCGGCCUACACCACGGCCACAGCAAUGUGGGAUCCUACCCGUGUCUGUGAUCUACACCACAGCUCACGGCAAUGCCAGAUCCUUAACCCACUGAGCGGGGCCAGGGAUCAAACCUGUGUCCUUAUGGAUGCCAGUCAGAUUCGUUAACCGCUGAGCCACUACAGGAACUCCAAAAAAGAAGCAUUUUUAAUAUUUGAUAGGAGGAAAGGGGGGAAGCUUUUCAUUUUAAUGAUCUACAAAGCUCCAAAAGCCCAUUUUACCUUUUACAAGUAUCAUUUCCAUUUCUGUAGACUUUCAGCACCAGCCAGGAGGAGAAAAAGUAAAAUGUAACACCUUGGUGUUUUAUUAAAGAGCAGAUGAGAAAUAGUCUAUGUUUUCAAAUAAGUUACAUGCUAACAAAUAUCAGUCUCUGUUUUUCCUUUGCUGAAAAAAUAUUAAAAUACUGCAACUAUGAGGUGUCAGAUCAACUUUGUAACUUUGUAAAUUUAAGCAUUAUACAUUUUGAGUCAGUAUUACCGGGUGCAUACAGGUUUAGGCAUUUUUCUUUCUAGUAAAUUUUAUUUCUCAUAUUGUUAUGAUUUUAUCAAUGUAAUUAUUCAUAACAGUAAAAAAUAAUAGUUUUAUCAGUUUAAUUACCAAAUGAGUCAAGCAAAGGAUAUAAAAAGAUCCUAUUGAGAAAACAAACUUUAUUGAAUAAUACCAAAGCAGAAUUAAGUAAAAUAUAUACCAUGAUAAGGGAGGAGUAAGGAAUACAGAAUGAAUGAAAGUAACGGCCUCAGUAAAUGAGGAUAUCAGCAUUAAUUUGUAUAUAUUUACAGCAUCUAAUAUGCCUUAAACACUAUUUCUGGGACUGUUCAAAGGUGUUGGUAAUUGUGGACAGUUACACAGAGAUAAUCCUCUCUUCAUGGAUUUAACAGUAUUUUCCAUAGAAAGAAGAUAUACACAUAGUUCAGUCUCAUUUUUGUAGUGGUUCAAGUUUUUAGGGUAUAUGUGUUUGUGAGAUUGUACAUUGGCAUCUGGGACCAGAGGCUUCAUACUGAUUUGAACCACAGCGUGUAGGUGUUUGUGUCCAACAUCCUUGUGAAAGAACUUAAACAUUUGGCAUUAUCAUUUUGCUGCUCCUACACAUCGACUGACAGAAUUUGUUCUGCAAAAAAGAGUUCCUCACAGCUUGAGGAAGCUUUAUGGUUACCUGCAGGUUGCUAACUCCCCCCAUGAGUCUUCCAAUGAGCAGAGUGACAUCUAUGCAAGUCCACUAUGAUUUCCUACUAGAACCUAGGAGAAGAGCUAUGGAUCAUAAGAGGAGAAACUAUCCCAGGAAUAACUGAAGUGACCUGCUGAUGGGGGAUACCGUUUUGAGUGACAGCCCAAUUGUUAGAUACCCUCAAAUAGGGGAAAUCUUUUCAUGCUCUUUUAUAUUAUAGGCGGAGAAAGUAUAAGUUUUUGUUUUAAUGAUCCACAAAAGCCACAGUGCCCCCUUUUGCUUUCCAUAGGUAUUGUUUCCGUAUGCUUACACUUUCAACACAAUUAGGAAAGAGAAAAAUGUAAAACAGCUUCAUGUUGAAUUAAAGGGCAGAUGAAACCCAGUCUGACCAUUUUCUCAUGUUAACUCUUGUUUGCAGAGCACUGCAGAGAUGAGUGUCACUUCAUAAUCAUUAGUACCUUAUAUGAUCAUCCCUCCCCAACGUCCUUCCCAUUGAUGAAUGACGAAGAGUACAGGAGUGGAGUCCUGCUUAAGCUUUUGCACCCUAUAAUAAUAAUGGAAUCUCUUUUGAAGACCUAACAUGUGCUGUACUGGGCACUGUCAAAACUUUUUAUUUUUUGUCUUUUUAGGGCUACACAUGUGGCAUAUGGAGGUUCCCAGGCUAGGGGUCGAAUCGGAGCUGUACCUGCCAGCCUGCUCCACAGCCACAGCAACGCCAAAUCCUUAACCCACUGAGCAAGACAAGGGAUGGAACCUACAUCCUCAUGGAUACUAGUCAGAUUAGUUUCCACUGAGCUGUGAUGGUACUCCUUGUCCAAACUUUUAAAUCUAUGGAGUUACCGUUGCGGCUCAGUGGUUUAAGAACCUAACUAGUACCCCUGAGGAUGCGAGUUCAAUCCCUGGCCUUGCUCAGAGGGUUAAAGAUCUCACCUCGCUCUAAGCUGUGGUGUAGGUCUCACAUGUAGCUUAGAUACCAUGUUGCUGUGGCUGUGCCAUAGGCCAGCAGAUGCAGCUUUGAUUUGACCCCUAGCCUGGGAACUUACAUAUGAUUCAGGUGUGGCCCUGAAAAGCAAAACAAACAAAAACAAAACCCGCACCAAACAAAAGCUUUUAAUCUCACGGCUCUGUAGGACAAGUGUAAUUACACAACUUUCAAACUACAGUGUCAAGUUUACAAAGUCUACGUUAUAUAACAUUCUGGGAAAAACCAAGGUAUAGGGAACUAGAACAGAAUGGGCUGAGUGGGCAGAAAGUCUGUCUACAAAUGGACAUUAGGAGGGUGUUUUCUUUGGGUGAUGGAGUGUUUUGUAUUUUAAUUAUGGUGGCAUCAGUAUGCAUUUAUGAAAACUCAUAGAGCUACAGUUAAAAAUGUGAAUUUGGAAUUCCUGUUGUGGCUCAGCAGGUUUAAGAACCCCAUUAGGAUCCAUGAGUAUGUGGGUCCAAUCCCUGGCCUUGCUCAGUGGGUUAAGGAUCUGGCAUUGCCACAAGCUGUGGUCAAGUGUAGGUAGAAAACAAAAUCUCUUAUGAGCUAAAAGGAAAUUUAAACUCCCCCAAACCUUGAUUUUUAGGUGUGUAGCAACAGUAUUUUCCACCUCCAAAGACUCGGGGCCCAGCAGGGCUUUCCUGGAACCCCAUGUGAAGUUAGGAGUUACUAUUCCAGGGUCACACCUGCCCUCACUUCAGGCACAUUACCUGAGGACACACUCUCUAAGGUUCACACCCAAUUCCUGUUGCCAAAACUCUGGGAAUACUGUGGUUCGAAUCUCAAAAAGAAUCCCACACAGUUCCAAAGGGGAUCCUCCUGGAGGUCAAGUGUGGAUGUUAAUGUUUCCUUAUCCUUGGGCAGUCACACCAAGUCCUUUCCUGAAGCCACUUGUGACUCAGGUCCAGGCUACCCGAAAUCUUAGGGCCAAACCCAGUCCUGAUCCCCACUGCAGUAAAACUUCACUGAAGAUCUACAUGUGAGCCCCUCUGGCAGUCAUUUCUCCGCAGAAAUUCCACAUGGCUGCGAGGCACAGUGUCCAGAGGAAGGAGUGUGACAGUGACCCACAUUCUCCUUCCAGAGUUUCAGUUCCCACAUGAACUCAGCCAAAUUGCUUCAAAUCUGUCAGUCUCAACACCUAACACGUGCACGACGUGGGAGAACGGCGGGCUCAGCAGCGCUCACACUCACGCCCACCUUCCAGCUCUAGUACCCAAGGGGCGAGCAGCCACGUAGGCGCGGUCAACGUCCCCAGUUUUUUUCAUGUCCAAACUUCCCAACUGCUCCAGGCAGAAUGUGCAGAGAUUUUACCAGUGCACAGCACGCUCGCUUCCUGGACACAAACCACCCAGUGGACCCCAAGUCUUGUGGUAAGUGUUCAGAGUAAGAGCCUCCUCAGACACUAGGAUUUCAUGCUUCGGAUUGCUCCCAGCAUGCAAUGCGACUGCACGCGGAUUGGGGCCGCGGAGACACCAGGGAGUCCUGAGGUCCUCAUGCUGUUGAGAGUCCUUCCUGUGGUGGGAGCUGAGACAUCAACUGUUUGAAGAGCCAGUGAAUACGCAGUGGGGGUCAGGGUAGGAUUGGAAGUGCUGUGGGGCCUUCCCUCACCUCCUGCCCAAACUCCUGUCUGCCAACUUCCGGUUGGCUUGAUGAUGGGGCUGGUUGUCAGCUUAUGGCCGAGAGACAAGAUGUCCGAGCUUGACAGGCCUUUCCUCUCCCCUACCUGGAUGCUGCAGGUGUGGUGUGGUGGGAAGGUGACGAAGGGUGGUGAAAGCCAUAGGACCUUUGGUGGGAGCCAACCCAGGACCAACAGGGUGGGGAGGCGAACACCAGUGAAGAGCGCAGCAGGAAACAUGGUGGCGACUGGGAGGGUGGGGGUUAGGGGGAGGAUAGAUUCCCUCGAGGCCAGACUCCUGGCGGAAGCAAAGGAACAAGCAAACUCCCUGAGAUGUAAGGGAGUGAAAGGCCUUCUGAUUACCACACGGAAAAUAUGUCAAGCCACUGACUUUUAGGAUCUCAGGCUUCCGUGACUAGAUGAUGGCGCUCAGCUCCUAGGAGGUUGCUAUGGAGAUGAGGGGCUGGGGUGGGUGCAGAAAGGCUUUGUGCACGAUGAGGGUUGUGCAGUGUGACACCUCCUACCCUCAGAGCAGGUCUGCCUGAAGGAUCCCUUGGGAAUUCCUUUGAGGGGGGGGGGCAAAGGAUACCCUUUACCAUUUGGAAUGGAGACGAUAAGCCUGAGCAGACAAGUGGAUGUGAGCCAUGAGAGAGUUAAGGUAAAUGGACAAAGCCCCCAGAGGAAGGAGGGAGGGUGUGUGUGUGUGUGUGUACUGGCCUUUCGGUAAGCGUUUCUUUAUAUAUAGCAGGCUUUCUACUGUGUGCUGUUGAUUUAGCAGUGAUCAGAUCCAGGGAAAUACCAUCCCCUCUUCCAGCUGAAUUUCUAUGAGAGCUAAACAAGGAUACAUAAGUGAUGGAAGGCAUUUCCUCGUAAUGAGGUAUGGUGAAGUCCUUCUGUAAUGGAGCAACCUUUAGUGAGCAACCUUUAGUGGUCCUAUUCAGCCAUUGGUCAGCAUUGUUGUGAGCAAGCCCUUCCCCCAAGCAAGUGACAGUGAGUGACUAUUGGCUCUUCCGCCUCCCCUUUCUCAGUAUAAAAAGAGCCUGAAUUCAGACUGAGGCAAAAUGGUUUUUUUGAGACACUAGUCUGCCAUCUUAGUCUUAGUCUGCUAGUUUUCCGAUUGAAGUCGUCAUUCCUUGCCCCAACAAUUCGUCUCUGAAUUUAUUGGCCUGUCCUGUGGCAAAAAGAGUAAACUUGGGUUGGAUAACAAUUCUGGCUUAUACAUCAUUUGGCUUGGACUUUAUGCUAACUAGAACAGCCUGUCUUAUGGCCUGCCAAACAUGCAUUGUAAAUCUGCUUUAAGUGUUAAGAAAAAGAAUGCAUUAUCUAAAGGCAAAGAAUGUCACUUUGAAGACAGGGAUAAAUGCCUCCUUUUCUAUGACACCCACACUGGUAGUCCUUCCCAGAUGCCAAGGCCAUACUGACUUGCUGUGUGUGUAGUCAUCUGUCUUUUGAAACCUUGAAGGAAUGUGCCCCCAUCAUGGUUGAUAUAUGGUCUUUGUUCUGACAAGAUGUACAUCAGUGCUGGAAACCAUGCUUCCCUGAAGCAGUUUCUUUGAGCUUCUGAGAGGCUGCCUCUUGGGUUCAUUGAGCUUGGCUCAAAUGAAACUCUUUUCUAUUCCUUUUAGAGAUGAUUUAAUGAAGAUUUCCCUGGUGGCCUAGCAGUUAAGAACUUGGUGUUGUCACUGCUGAGGUUCAGGUUACUGCUGUGUCUUGGGUUCAUCCCUGGUCUGGGAACUUCUAUAUGCCAUAGGCAUGGCGGGAAAAGUAAAGAGAGAGAGAGAGAGAGAUCAUUUAUUGAUUGUUUGCAUUGACAUAAGUAAAAUAUAAGGUGUAUCAAAAGGUGGUAAGUCCUAAGGAGAAGGAGAAAGAGGAGGGUUGUUUUUACCCUUUAGAGGUCUGUCUAUUAGUGUCCAGUGUCUCAGAGUGUGUGUACUUUUAAGUCCUAGGUUCCAAAGUCUUGAUGAUUCUGUUUAGGGGCUACAUGGUUACGGCCGGGAUUACCCAUGUUGCUAAGUUGUGUUCAGGCAAGAGUGUCUAUGAAUCUCAUGUAUGGCCAUGGUGUUUCUUUGCCUCUGUGUAUUUUUCCAAUUCUGACUAUAAUAACCUAGUGUUGGCCAUUUGGAUGUCUCCUUUAAAAAGUAUUUAUUCAGGUCUUCUCAUUUUUUAAUCAGAUUGUCUGGGUUUUUUGGGUUUUUUUUGUUUUUGUUUUGUUUUUUUGCUAUUGAGUUGUGUGAGUUCUUCAUAUAUUAAUCCUUUUUUGGAUACA
rnacentral:lncRNA from 1 species